CACCAUUCAAGUUGCAGCAAAGCCUCAAUCCAUUGCCAAACAGCAAAAAGCAUGCAGCUCAAGAUGAUCCUGGUGGGGUUGGUCAUUCUUGGUCUCAUUGUGACAGAUGGAGGCGCCAUGCCGGCGAGCAGCUCCAGCGAAGCCGAGGCCAGGGCUGAUACCGAGACUGCUGAGCGUGCCGAGCAGAGCAACGCCGAGGAGGCACGCAUCAGCGAAGCAUGCAUGGCUUCCCUGUGCGGGUAGUAACCAGAUGCAAGAGUGUGGGACGUUCGAAAGAUUGUCUUCUUCAAGAGCAGCGGGAAUGAUACCUCAGGAAAUACCGGCACUGUCCAGUGCUCCAAACCGUCUUACGGUGCUCUUGCAUUUGUACAAGUUACAAUAAAUAUGAGAUCUUGA